UGUGCGCUGUUGGACACGUGAGCAGUUCACGGCUUUCUGUGUCUAGACUGUAGUCCGUUGGAGGAGUCCACUGCACGUAGCUUACACGUUCUCCGACGGAUGGACACAUGGGCGGUUUUCACCUUUUGGCUACUAGACAUGGAGACCACAAACGUAUCUUUCCUUCAAUCUAGAAUCCGCUCUUUGGUGUAUAAUGAAAUUUGACAUGAGAGCCGGGAAAGUCCUACGGUGACAUCACGGACCGGGAGCAAGGUCACGACGUGACCGAGGCCACUCUCCAAGGGGAC